GAAUAUUCAUCAUGUAUGCUUUUCUAAUUAUAAGGGGGGUGGGGGAUGAAGAGGAGACUUUUCGAGCCACACACCGGAAUUUACUUUGAGGAAAUUAAAGUGUUCAUAGCAAAUAAGUGUUUGAAUACUACAGCAUGGAAUAACAAAAUAGGACUUUGGUAUUGUUUUGUUGGAGUAGAGAAACCAAAGUAAAGAUGAAUAGGGACAGUUGGGGGCAUUGGAAUUUGAUAGUCAGAGGUGAAAUUCAUGGAUUUAUCAAAGACCAACAAAGGCGAAAGCAUUUGCCAAGGAUGUUUUCAUUGAUCAAGAACGAAAGUCAGGGGAUCGAAGACGAUUAGAUACCGUCGUAGUCUUGACCGUAAACGAUGCCGACUUGGGGGAGGUGCGAGAUGAGAAGCGGAUCUCAACCAAAGGAGAAAUCAAAGUGUAUGGGUUCUGGGGGGAGUAUAGUCGCAAGGCCGAAACUUGAAGGAAUUGACGGAAGGGCACCACCAGGAGUGGAGCCUGCGGCUUAAUUUGACUCAACACGGGAAAACUUACCAGUCCGGACAUGAUGAGGAUUGACAGAUUGAGAGCACUUUUUAAGAUUUCAUGGGGAGGGUUGGUGCAUGGCCCGUUCUUAGUUGGUGGAGUGAUUUGUCAGGUUAAUUCCGAUAACGAGCGAGACCCUGUGAUGACGGUAAUGAUUGAGUAUGUAAAUACGCGAGACGUUUCUUCAUCGACACCCCA
rnacentral:rRNA from 1 species